UGGUGCUUUCAGACCCCACCUGCCAGCCUGUGCCUUGUGCUGGAGGUUGUUGUGCCUUGGCACUGCAGGGAAUGAAUGUCCCCUUCCCCUUUCAGCCCAGCAGAUUCCAAAGGCUCUUACAGGAAUAUUUAUCCUUUAGUUCCCUGUGUGAUAACUGAAUCUCCCCCUGCUGUGAGCCAUUCCUUGAGUUCUCCUGGAGAAAACCUCAUGGCAGAGGAGUUUGCAAAGAGCCCAGAGCUGUGUUUGGAGCAGAGAGAGCUGAGAGCUGCGUCUGCCUGUGCUGCCCCAGCCUGGCAACAUCCUCAUGGAACAGCCUGGGCAGAUGGGAUUAGAUGGAGCAAAAUCCCUUCAUGCAAGAGGUUUUCUCCUGUGCAGCUCAGGCACGGGGCAGGCAGUGAACUUUGGAAAUCAGCUGAUUUCCCCAGAAAGCAUCACUCCCUCAGCAUGAAUGACAGGACCUGUGCCCACUGCUCAGGAGUCACCCAGCCAAAAUCAAGGGCAAAGAUGCUGGAAUUGCCUCCCUGGAUGUGCACUGAGCUCUUGCUGCAGGGAACUGCCAGGCCUUAAUGGUGGUGAGUUCAUGUUCUUCUCACUGGGGAAUUGGAAAUAAUUAUUAAUUAGUAAUUGCAGAAAUGUUUUCUGAAACCUUUCCUCUUUGCUGGUAGAUCUUCUCUUUCUGCCUUGGAAAUUACAGCUGUUCCCUGCUGUCCUUUGCCCUGCCUGAAUUCCCUGCAGCUCCACUGGGAAAACCUGGGAUAACUCAGAGGGAACAGAGGUGACAUUUUUAGCUGAAAACCUGGGGCAGUUGAGAGGGGACACAAGAACUGUUUGUGUAGGAAAAUGAGAGAGGAUGUCAAGGGGAGCAAGGUGGCAUUUUUGAGGGAAAAGCUGAGGUGAUGAUUAGGGGAGAGAAUGCAAAUUUUUGGAGUAGAAAAGAGCUAAUCAGUAUUGUACUGGAAGGAAAAUUUUG
rnacentral:lncRNA from 1 species